rnacentral:rRNA from 1 species
UACGUAGGUGGCAAGCGUUAUCCGGAUUUACUGGGUGUAAAGGGCGUGUAGGCGGGAAAGCAAGUCAGAUGUGAAAACCAUGGGCUCGACCUGUGGCCUGCAUUUGAAACUGUUUUUCUUGAGUACUGGAGGGGCAGACGGAAUUCCUAGUGUAGCGGUGAAAUGCGUAGAUAUUAGGAGGAACACCAGUGGCGAAGGCGGUCUGCUGGACAGCAACUGACGCUGAGGCGCGAAAGCGUGGGGAGCAAACAGG